rnacentral:rRNA from 1 species
ACUCCUACGGGAGGCAGCAGUAGGGAAUCUUCCGCAAUGGACGAAAGUCUGACGGAGCGACGCCGCGUGGGCGAAGAAGGUCUUCUGGAUCGUAAAGCUCUGUUGUUAGGGAGAAAACCGUUCGAAUAGGGCGGUACGGUGGGUACCUAACGAGUAAGCCCCGGCUAACUACGUGCCAGCAGCCGCGGUAAU